UCUGGAAAACUGAGCUUGACACAGCUCUGACACAGAGUCUAAAGAUACUAUGUUACACAGGCUCUGUAUUCUGCAGACCACUCUACCUCUGUCUCCUUUUAAAAACUCACUCGCCCCUCCCCUCCAUGAAGUACAGCUGAGCUGACGGUGCAUACAAACUAUACCCCAACAUAUUACUGCUUGUUGGGCUAUUGAAAAAAAUCCAAAACUCUCUGUUGAGACAUUGCUAA